rnacentral:rRNA from 1 species
CGCCAGUGUAUAUCUAUGUUGCUGCAGUUAAAAAGCUCGUAGUUGGAUUUCGGGUGGGAAUGGCCGGUCCGCCGUUUCGGUGUGCACUUGCUACGCCCACCUUGCUGCCGGGGACGUGCUCUUGAGUUCACGCUCGGGACACGGAGUCGGCGAGGUUACUUUGAGUAAAUUAGAGUGUUCAAAGCAGGCCUACGCUCUGAAUACAUUAGCAUGGAAUAACACGAUAGGACUCUGGCCUAUCUUGUUGGUCUGUAGGACCGGAGUAAUGAUUAAGAGGGACAGUCGGGGGCAUUCGUAUUUCAUUGUCAGAGGUGAAAUUCUUGGAUUUAUGAAAGACGAACUACUGCGAAAGCAUUUGCCAAGGAUGUUUUCAUUAA